rnacentral:miRNA from 1 species
UAUCUUGAAUUUGAUUAGCACUAAA